CCGUCGAUAGCUCAGUUGGUAGAACGGUGGGCUGUAGAUCCAUAGGUCGCUGGUUCGAAUCCAGCUCUACGGU
rnacentral:tRNA from 1 species